AUACGGAGGAUCCGAGCGUUAUCCGGAUUUAUUGGGUUUAAAGGGAGCGUAGGCGGACUAUUAAGUCAGCUGUGAAAGUUUGCGGCUCAACCGUAAAAUUGCAGUUGAUACUGGUCGUCUUGAGUGCAGUAGAGGUAGGCGGAAUUCGUGGUGUAGCGGUGAAAUGCUUAGAUAUCACGAAGAACUCCGAUUGCGAAGGCAGCUUACUGGACUGUAACUGAUGCUGAUGCUCGAAAGUGUGGGUAUCAAACAGGAUUAGAUACCCUGGUAGUCCACACAGUAAACGAUGAAUACUCGCUGUUUGCGAUAUACGGCAAGCGGCCAAGCGAAAGCAUUAAGUAUUCCACCUGGGGAGUACGCCGGCAACGGUGAAACUCAAAUGAAUUGGCGGGG
rnacentral:rRNA from 1 species